rnacentral:rRNA from 1 species
UGAACGCUGGCGGCGUGCCUAACACAUGCAAGUCGAACGAGAACGGGUAUUAGUUUACUAAUACUGUCAGCUAAGUGGCGCACGGGUGAGUAAUAUAUAGUUAACCUGCCCCAAAGAAGAGAAUAAUUGUUGGAAACGACUUGUAAUGCUCUAUAUGCCUUUAUCACAAAAGUGAGCAAGGGAAACAUUUAUGGCUUUGGGAUGGGACUGUACGGUAUCAGUUUGUUGGUGAGGUAAUGGCUCACCAAGACUAUGACGCCUAACUGGUUUGAGAGGAUGAUCAGUCACACUGGAACUGAGACACGGUCCAGACUCCUACGGGAGGCAGCAGUGGGGAAUAUUGCACAAUGGACGAAAGUCUGAUGCAGCAACGCCGCGUGGAGGAUGACACAUUUCGGUGCGUAAACUCCUUUUAUAUGAGAAGAUAAUGACGGUAUCAUAUGAAUAAGCACCGGCUAACUCC